UACGUAGGGGCCGAGCGUUGUCCGGAGUUAUUGGGCGUAAAGCGCGCGCAGGCGGCCUCGCGCGCCCGACGUGAAAGCCCCCGGCUUAACCGGGGAGGGUCGUUGGGGACGGCGGGGCUUGAGGGCGGGAGAGGGCGGGGGAAUUCCCGGUGUAGUGGUGAAAUGCGUAGAGAUCGGGAGGAACACCAGUGGCGAAGGCGGCAUACUGGACCACUUCUGACGCUGAGGCGCGAAAGCCAGGGGAGCAAACGGG
rnacentral:rRNA from 1 species